rnacentral:rRNA from 1 species
CGGACGGGUGAGUAACGCGUGAGAAUCUGCCUUCAGGUCUGGGACAACCACUGGAAACGGUGGCUAAUACCGGAUGUGCCGCAAGGUGAAAGGUUAACUGCCUGAAGGUGAGCUCGCGUCUGAUUAGCUAGUAGGUAGUGUAAAGGACUACCUAGGCGACGAUCAGUAGCUGGUCUGAGAGGACGAUCAGCCACACUGGGACUGAGACACGGCCCAGACUCCUACGGGAGGCAGCAGUGGGGAAUUUUCCGCAAUGGGCGAAAGCCUGACGGAGCAAUACCGCGUGAGGGAGGAAGGCUCUUGGGUCGUAAACCUCUUUUCUCAGGGAAGAACAAAAUGACGGUACCUGAGGAAUAAGCAUCGGCUAACUCCGUGCCAGCAGCCGCGGUAAUACGGAGGAUGCAAGCGUUAUCCGGAAUGAUUGGGCGUAAAGCGUCCGCAGGUGGCUAUGUAAGUCUGCUGUUAAAGAGUCUAGCUCAACUAGAUAAGAGCAGUGGAAACUACAUGGCUAGAGUGCGUUCGGGGCAGAGGGAAUUCCUGGUGUAGCGGUGAAAUGCGUAGAGAUCAGGAAGAACACCAAUGGCGAAGGCGCUCUGCUAGGCCGUAACUGACACUGAGGGACGAAAGCUAGGGGAGCGAAUGGGAUUAGAUACCCCAGUAGUC